rnacentral:rRNA from 1 species
GUGUCAGCCGCCGCGGUAAAACGUAGGUGGCAAGCGUUAUCCGGAUUCACUGGGCGUAAAGCGCGUGCAGGUGGCUCUGUAAGUUGGAUGUGAAAUUUCCCGGCUUAACCGGGAAGGGUCAUUCAAUACUGCGGGGCUUGAGGGCAGAAGAGGGGGGUGGAAUUGCCGGUGUAGUGGUGAAAUGCGUAGAUAUCGGCAGGAACACCUGUGGCGAAAGCGGCCCCCUGGUCUGCUCCUGACACUCAGACGCGAAAGCUAGGGGAGCGAACGGGAUUAGAAACCCCGGUAGUCCUAGCCGUAAACGAUGGAUGCUAGGUGUAGGUGGUAUUGACCCCAUCUGUGCCGAAGCCAACGCGUUAAGCAUCCCGCCUGGGGACUACGGCCGCAAGGUUAAA